AGUCACUGACAUUAGAUACCCGUGUAGUCCCAGCCGUAAACUAUGCGCGUUAGGUGUAUCGGUGACCACGAGUCACCGAGGUGCCGAAGGGAAACCGUGAAACGUGCCGCCUGGGAAGUACGGUCGCAAGGCUGAAACUUAAAGGAAUUGGCGGGGAGCACAACAACGGGUGGAGCCUGCGGUUUAAUUGGACUCAACGCCGGACAACUCACCGGGACGACAGCAAUAUGUAGGCCAGGCUGAAGACCUUGCCUGAAUCGCUG
rnacentral:rRNA from 1 species